rfam:Medicago truncatula strain A17 chromosome 6, whole genome shotgun sequence.
CCCUGCAAAAAUAGAAUAUUUGGUUUUGGUCCUUGGUAUUUUGUUUUAAUCCUUGUAAAAUCAUUUCAUAUUGAAAUUGGUCCCUAUAAUAUUCAUUUUAGUCCUCGUUUUGAGAGACUAAAAUCAAAUAUUCUACAUAUUACAAGGACCAAAUCCAAUAUGAAUCAAUUUUACAAGGACUAAAACAAAAUAUACAAAGGACCAAAACCAAAUUUUUUAUAUUUGCAGGGA